CCUACGGGAGGCAGCAGUAGGGAAUUUUCGGCAAUGGGCGGAACCCUGACCGAGCAACGCCGCGUGAAGGAAGAAGGAAUUCGUUCUGUAAACUUCUGUUAUCAAGGAAGAAAGACGGAUGGAGGAAAUGACAUCCGAGUGACGGUACUUUAUGAGAAAGCCACGGCUAACUACGUGCCAGCAGCCGCGGUAAUACGUAGGUGGCAAGCGUUAUCCGGAAUUAUUGGGCGUAAAGAGGGAGCAGGCGGCAGCUAAGGUCUGUGGUGAAAGACUGAAGCUUAACUUCAGUAAGCCGUAGAAACUGGGAAGCUAGAGUGCAGGAGAGGAACGCGGAAUUCGAUGUGUAGCGGUGAAAUGCGUAGAUAUAUGGAGGAACGCCAGUGGCGAAGGCGACGAUCUGGCCUGCGACUGACGCUGAGUCCCGAAAGCGUGGGGAGCGAAUAGGAUUAGAUACCCGAGUAGUC
rnacentral:rRNA from 1 species